ensembl:misc_RNA Y_RNA Y RNA
GGCUGGUCUGAAGGUAAUGAGUUAUCUUACUUGAUUGUUCACAGUCAGUUACAGAUUGAACUCCUUGUUCUACUCUUCCAUCCCCCCCUCUCCCUAGUGCACUUAAAUAGUCUUAA